UACGUAGGGUGCAAGCGUUAAUCGGAAUUACUGGGCGUAAAGCGUGCGCAGGCGGUUAUAUAAGACAGUUGUGAAAUCCCCGGGCUCAACCUGGGAACUGCAUCUGUGACUGUAUAGCUAGAGUACGGUAGAGGGGGGUGGAAUUCCGCGUGUAGCAGUGAAAUGCGUAGAUAUGCGGAGGAACACCGAUGGCGAAGGCAAUCCCCUGGACCUGUACUGACGCUCAUGCACGAAAGCGUGGGGAGCAAACAGG
rnacentral:rRNA from 1 species